GCGGGGAUAUAAGGAGAGGAUACGAAGUUGUAUGCAGAGAAGCCCAGCAGGUGGCUGAAGAAGGCACCUCAGACUCCUGAAGAUGGCGGCCUAGGAGAACCCCAGCCACCUGUCCCCUACACGAAACCUGAGCCGCUGAUACUAACUCAGGCCGUGGGGCUCCUCCUCUGCUGCAGAGAUCUCCGAGGAGCCACAGGGCCAUACAGCCUCGCUGGGUCUGCACCCACUCUGCCCCUACCAACCACUCAUCAGCCAGCCCUGUGACCCAGGUCCCUCUAUGGAGGCAACACCCUGCUCUUACCGUCCGUCCGGUGCUCUCUGGAACAAGCUAUUCACAUCCCUGAUCAGUAGUCUCUCCGGGCUCUGCCGGGACAGCUCCUCCCCUUUUGAAGCUGGCCCCUGUGUCUCUUAGGGUUGAAAGCUACAGAAGGUCAUGCUCAGAGCAAGGCCACUGUGGACUAGAGCCUGUCACAGAGUGGUCCUGCUUAGAUACCCUGUGUGGAAGUGGGCUCAUCUGAUACCCCAUUGAGACGCAAGUUCCCCCUCAGAAGCUGUAUCACUGACAAGCUCCCAGGGAACGCUGCUGCUGCUGCUGUCACUGCUGCUGGCCCAGGGUCUACUCAGAAGAAAAAGGAGCUGGCUUCUGAUUGGUUGGUUUGGGUUUGUUCGUUGUUCUUUUUCUUUUUUUAAAGAUUCAUUUAUUUUUAUGUGUAUGAAUGUUUUACCAGUACAUAUAUCUAUGUGCCAUGUGUCUGCAGUGGCCACGGAGGCCAGAAGAAACUGUCAGAUCCCCGGGAACUGGAGUUACAAAUGGCUGUGAGCCACCAUGAGGGUGUUGGGAAUUGAACCCAGGUCUCAUGGAAGAGCAGCCUGUGCUCUUGACCAAUGAGACAUCUCUCCAGCCACCUUGAUCCCUUUGUAAUUAAAACAUUUUCUUAUCGAA